CAUAGCGCCUUUUCCUAGUCAAGUAUCGGGCAGCUGUAUGUCUUUUCAGAAAUGCACAUGUCUUCUUUAGCAUGUCAUUGUGAUUGCUUUUAAUUAGAUAGGCAAAAAACUCAUAACCUUUAGAAAAAGGAGCAUCUGUAAAUUCAGAUUUCACUAUUUCAGAGUCAGCCAGACCACGAUUGAGCUUAAGGAUUGUGCUGCGGAUGCGGCCUGUGCAGUUCCGGGAGAAAGUCACGUGGGCAUUGCGGUCUGGUAUCAGGUCUAGAUGAUCCUUGCCUGACUCCGGGUUUGUGUACACCUCAAUCCGACUCCCUGUCCGGUACCGAGGCCGCAGUGGUGCAGCGCUUGUGGACGAUCCAUCAACAUCCUGAAAGGUCAACACUUCACCAAGCUGGGAAAAUUGAUCCUGAUAGUCAUCCCCAGGUAGUGAAAUGAAUGUACACUGAACUACAGAGGAAUCACACCCAAAUGACUUUUCCGACAUUAGUGUGGCCCAUCGGGCAGGAAUUCCUUAGCAAACAUGCUUUUUUGCAUGGGGACUGUGGCAUUUUUGCAAAACUUAAGCUUUCAACACUGGAUUUUAAAGACAACACUUAAUAAAAUGUAGCCAACAGGACUUAUUUUUAUGAGAGAGACUAUCUGGGUGAGCAACAAAUGUCACAUUGUGUCGUAAGCUGUUGAAGGAGCUAUUUGCGCCAUUUUAAGUGUUAAUUUUGGGUAGCAGGCUCGUAUCGGCUUGAAAGCUGCAAAUUAUUCCUCUCAUCAUAAUAGCAUUAAUUAUUUUAAUUGCAAUGUGUAUGCUUAGAUUGUAAGUGAAGCUUUUAAUAAUAAUUUUCUUGAAAAACAUGAUUUUAUAUGCUGUCAGUGAGUUUUUUGUGUGAAAAAAGUGCUAAAAAUUAAAAAAAGUCUCAUUUUUCAUCAAGAAAAGUACACUGAUUCACAAUCAAUACAUUUAAUUGGGCCUUUUGCUGAUAUAUUGGUGAAUUUUGCAUGCAAUGAUACCAGUUUUUGCCAUAAAAGUUACGCGUAACAAUAAUUGGAGACACAAAAUCAGCUGUCGUCACUUAGACUAAAAAUCAUGCAUUCCGACUCGACUGCGGCCAAUUUAGUCACCGCUUUAAAUGGCCAUUUUAAGGCCUUUACCCCCAUCCGUAUGCACUGAAAUUGCAUAUUCAUGGUGGAAAUAGUUCAAAUCUCUUGUGGAGAAAGUUUGAAAAAGAUAGGACAAAGUUGAGUUCCCUUAAAGGUUACAUUACACUAAAUCAUUGUGUAUCCCUCCGUGGUCAAUUCGAAAGUAGUGCCUAUUUCUAAAGAGUUCCUUUUCUCUUCUUGAAUAUAAGCCAUUUAACAAUGUGAGACAUGUCUUUUGUGGUUAUUUGUAAUAUCCUGUAUGUGUCUGGAGUACUUUGAUGCCUUGGAUUGGAAGCUAACUUAAAAGAUGGACUUUUGAGGGUGUGUUUUCUAUUGUGUGGGGCUUUUGUCGAAAUUAGGAUUCCGAAACACGUUUUUCUACGGUGGGUUCAUUCGACAGCGAUUUACUUUCUUAGAAGUUGCGAGACGGUAUGUUUUUGAUUGCAAUUAUUGGAAGAGGACAGAUCCAUCUUUACAAUGAUGCCAGGUUCGGAAAAAUUGAUACGUCGAAAAGGCAAGAAAAAUGCUGUGAAAGUUGUCAGUUUUAUAAUGGGACCCUAUGGGAAUCGGAAUUAGUGUAAUAUAACCUUAAGCAGCUGUGUAAUGGCGGACGCGGAGAGAAUUCAGGGGAGAUAAUUAUGUAAUGACUAAAUUCUGGAACGGUCUAUAGAGAGGAUCCGGUUUAGAGGGUUUCAACUGUAUACGUCAUAGACAAGAAUGGGAAAUCAAUCAAGCUGGGUACGAGUAACAGUCUCGGGUGCUAGUUUCCGGUGCAGCACUACUACACCUACCGAUCUAUGGCCAACAUUACAACCAUAUGUACCGACGGCGUCGUCUGUCGAAAGUGCUAUCC